CCCUCCCCUUGCUUCUCAAAGACACCCCCAAAGGCUCUAGUUCCGGAGUUCCCAGCAUCUUGAAAAGAAGCAUCCUGAGAUUUGCCAUCUGCCUUCUUUCAGGAACCCGAGCUUUCAGGACUCAAUGUGAAGGUCGAACCUCCGUUCCAGCCCCACCUCCUUCCAGCUCAGUUUCCCCCGAGGCACAGCACAUUGGACUCUGAGAGGGCACCCUGCCUUUCGUGCGCCUGGGCAUGAGGGGUGUCUCAGGAAAGCCUCCGCUCCUGCGUGCUCAAGGUUCGUCUCUAAGAUGUGUGCAUGGAUUCCUUCAACAGCCUCAGGUCUGACAGAUGAGGACACAAAUGCCUCCCAGCAGGUCCAUGCCCCAGCCCCACUUUGGAAGGGGGCAGAGCGGGUCAGAAGCAAGAGAGGGGAAAAUACAACACAGGGGAAGAAAGAGACAAAAAUAAGAACCCAGAAGAGCAGCAGGUGCAGGAGAGAGAGGAGGAAGAGGAAGAAUGCCUCGGCCCAUGCACAGAGCAGAAAAGAAUGCCAAGGGGGACCCCAGGACAAGAGCAGGACACAGAGGAUGGGACUGAGGACCAAAAUGAAAGAUGAUCUCCAGGAAGAGGCGACUGCAGAGAUUUGCACUUGUCCUGGCCUCGUGCUUGUCACAUUUCAGAGUGAAUAAAAAUCAGCUGGGCUGCUGGUUAAACUACAGGUCCCUGGGACACCUGGAUGAGUCGGUCGGUUAAGUGACUGACUUCCACU